rnacentral:lncRNA from 1 species
UGUGUGCGUUGAGCAUAGCAUCGAAAAGAAAGAGCGUCUUCAAACGUUGAGAGUUUCAACACGAAUUCUUAAUCGCCUCUAGCCUAGAGAAUACCUCUUAGCUCGUUGCAAGCAGCUUCGCUUUCUUGUCUCCAGCAAAUCUCUCUUGUUUCGUUGUCUUACUCUAAACGAACUUACCUUUACCUUGCGAGGCGAGAGUGGACUUGAUCCGUCGCUGAUCCUUGACAGGCCCUGAUCGUUGUUUUCAUUGAGGUUGGACCAUUGUCAGGUAGAACUUCAGCUGGAUUUAAGUUCUGAAGAUCGCAGUUUCCCAACGUUGUUUCUCAGCUCGCAGGUCUUGCGUUGAGCGCAGCAACAACACAACUCAAAGCUCCAAAACGUUGACACAAAAUCUCUCCAAUCCAGUAGCAUUUCUCUUCUUGGCACACGCUGUGACAUGGCGUUUUUCAGUUCUUAUCGUCGUUGAGCAGCACCCUUCAUGACAAGAAAUUAGAACAAAUCGAAACACACGCGAACCUGGCAACGUGAAACUAAGUAUCGUUGAUUGUUAGUUUUGUUCGUAUUCACACAGCGUUGUCCACAUCGGUGAGUUUCCCUUCGCGUUGAGAGUUCCUUGGCCCGUUGUCUUGCACUUUGCUUGUUUGAGUUGUUUGUUGUGUCACUGGCCCUUUUGCGUUGCAAUCGAAAAGAAAGAGCGCGUUGAGAGUUUCAACACGAUUUCUUGAUCGCCUCUAGCAUACCUCUUAGCUCGUUGCAAGAAGCUUCGCUUUCCAAAUCUCUGUCUUACUCGCUUAUUGCUAACGCAAAGAAAAGCCCUACCUAAACGAACUUACCUUGCGAGGGUGGAGAGAGGCAAAGCGGCCUACCAUGGGCAGAGGGGAAGGAUCGGCGACCACCAACCCCAACCCCAAGAUCCGCGGCAUCCACCAUCACUGCCCUAGCCCUUUAUCAUCGAUGAACUCUAAAC